rnacentral:rRNA from 1 species
UACGAAGGGGGCUAGCGUUGCUCGGAAUCACUGGGCGUAAAGGGCGCGUAGGCGGAUCUUUAAGUCGGGGGUGAAAGCCCAGGGCUCAACCCUGGAAUUGCCUUCGAUACUGAAGAUCUCGAGACCGGAAGAGGUUAGUGGAACUGCGAGUGUAGAGGUGAAAUUCGUAGAUAUUCGCAAGAACACCAGUGGCGAAGGCGGCUAACUGGUCCGGUUCUGAC